CCUACGGGGUGCAGCAGUGAGGAAUAUUGGUCAAUGGACGAGAGUCUGAACCAGCCAAGUAGCGUGAAGGAUGACUGCCCUAUGGGUUGUAAACUUCUUUUAUAAAGGAAUAAAACGAGGCACGUGUGCCUUUUUGCAUGUACUUUAUGAAUAAGGAUCGGCUAACUCCGUGCCAGCAGCCGCGGUAAUACGGAGGAUUCGGGCGUUAUCCGGAUUUAUUGGGUUUAAAGGGAGCGUAGAUGGGUUGUUAAGUCAGUUGUGAAAGUUUGCGGCUCAACCGUAAAAUUGCAAUUGAUACUGGCAGUCGUGAGUACAGUUGAGGUAGGCGGAAUUCGUGGUGUAGCGGUGAAAUGCUUAGAUAUCACGAAGAACCCCGAUUGCGAAGGCAGCUUACUAAACUGUGACUGACAUUGAUGCUCGAAAGUGUGGGUAUCAAACAGGAUUAGAUACCCCAGUAGUC
rnacentral:rRNA from 1 species